GAUGACUCAUGUGCCAUCUCAAAGGCCUGAUGGGAUUGUUAGCCAGAAUUCCAACUCGCCGGGGUUUGGGGCAAACAACAGAACCCUUGGAAUCAUAUAUUGAAACCAAGCCUCUAGUCUCAUCACAGGAGGCACUGGCGUUCUUAUGAAGAUUUAAGUGAUUCAUCUUCAAAUUUGCACAAUAAUUCUACAAAAGAACGCCUGGAGGAAUCCUCCGGUGGAAGAAAAUCAGGACAAGGUG
rnacentral:misc_RNA from 1 species